rnacentral:rRNA from 1 species
UACAGAGGGUGCGAGCGUUAAUCGGAAUUACUGGGCGUAAAGCGCGCGUAGGCGGCUUUGCAAGUCGGAUGUGAGAUCCCCAGGCUUAACCUGGGAACUGCAUUCGAGACUGCAUUGCUAGAGUAUGGGAGAGGGAAGUGGAAUUUCCGGUGUAGCGGUGAAAUGCGUAGAUAUCGGAAGGAACAUCAGUGGCGAAAGCGACUUCCUGGACCAAUACUGACGCUCAUGUGCGAAAGCGUGGGGAGCAAACAGG